GUUUUAACUAGUUUUUAAUUUCAAUUAAAUGUUUUAAUACCUAUUAGAAAAUGCUCACCACUUAACAAAAAUAAGAAAAUUGUUUUAAAAUCCCUUGUAGGGUACUUAAUGAGUUAUCGGUAGGUGAAGUUCGGUAGUUCAUUAGGUAUUCUACGGGAUCAUGUUAUGCCUUACAGAGGGGUAAGGUGUGACAAUUUAUGCUACCAAUUUUAAUUAAUAAUGUAAGACAAUCAAUUUUCAAAUGUUGGAAUAGGAAAAUACUUAGCAAAGGUUGCAUUAUGUGGAAUAGAAUUGUUUCAAUGCCAGUUUUAAACAAAUUGGAUAUAAGCCACACCAACAAAAAUAUUCAUCUAAAUAUGCUCCUAUUUCUACCCACUUAAUCCCAACUAAGGUUAUUAUAAUCAGAAUUGUUCACAGGAUUUCCCCCCAGUCAUAUUGCCUUU
rnacentral:misc_RNA from 1 species